rnacentral:rRNA from 1 species
GCUAACUCUGUGCCAGCAGCCGCGGUAAUACAGAGGGUGCGAGCGUUAAUCGGAAUUACUGGGCGUAAAGCGCGCGUAGGCGGCUAUACAAGUCGAGUGUGAAAUCCCCGGGCUCAACCUGGGAACUGCAUUCGAGACUGUAUGGCUUGAGUAUGGGAGAGGGAGGCGGAAUUUCAGGUGUAGCGGUGAAAUGCGUAGAUAUCUGAAGGAACAUCAGUGGCGAAAGCGGCCUCCUGGACCAAUACUGACGCUCAUGUGCGAAAGCGUGGGGAGCAAACAGGAUUAGAUACCCCUGUAGUC